UCAGACCAGAAAACAUGGAGUGACAACUGUGUGUGUUUGAAUGGAAGUUGGGACGUAGACGAGAAGAACGAAAUCUACAUAUGUCGUUGUCCGGCUGAAAACAGCUCCCAAGACAUCAAAGAUCCUUUACCAAACCCGUGUUUGAAUGGAGGUACAUAUAGUUAUCCCAAAGAACCGGUAUGUCUGUGUCCGCCUGGAUAUAAUGGAACUACCUGUCAAGAUGCCGUGUCCGGGUGACGAAACUUUUAUUUCUUUUUCUGGAGGAAUCUUUUGUCGACAAACCUCUUGCGAUGAUAUUAUCUACGAAUGACAGAAAUGUUUUAAUUGCAAUGUAUUGCACAUUAUAUGAAAUAAACUAAAUAAGCAAAGCAUAUAAAUCGUUGCUGAAAUUCCUUUGUGAC